AAAACAAAACACAAAAACAAAAACAAAAACAAAAUCGAAAAUAGAAAACUAUGGCGAGUGAAAGAUUCCCUCUCAGUGUCAUGGAUGCGAUGCCAUUUGCUUUGACCUUCAAUUAUUUUUUU
rnacentral:ribozyme from 13 species